CAUCGACAAUUUAAAAUAGGUCCAUCGGAUUAGUGUGUUCGGUAUGCUUUUUGGAUGGCAAUCCAGAUUAUCUUAGCAAUCUAUAUUGCCUCCCAAGAGGUGAUCUAGAUAGCCUUGGAAAGAGGUGGGUAUCUGUUGGUGCAAAAAUCCGCUUGCAUCGGAAAAGCUGGAGUCAAGGGAGUCACGGUCGCCGUCGGGACCUGCAAAGGAAGUCUAAACCGGAGGUGGGGUUGCUCCGGCAAGAUCCUCCGACGCUCAAGUCAGUUCUCUGCCUCAACAAGAAUGGAGUGCUCGAACGAAGAAUUUAGCAGAGUUUUGAGAUGAAAAGUGAGAGCUUAUGGAAUAACGUAUCUGGGGUUUUUCUUUUAUAGACGGAGAGUGCAACAGAUUGAUAGUGACACCUGUAACCGUCUGGUGGUGGGCCGCCCAGAGUCAGGAGGAAUUUAUUGUGGAGAGUAAUGGAGUGGGGUCGUGGCUAUCGCCGUGGCUCGCCACGUGGGAUCAGUUACGGGGAGUGGAGCGGCGUCUGCUGUCGUGACUCAUCUGGGGGUGGUGGAAUCGCACAGGAUCCACCGCAGGGAGUGGAGCAGAAUUAUGGCCGUUAAUACGGUCUGUCAGGGAGUAAUGGAGCU
rnacentral:lncRNA from 1 species